rnacentral:tRNA from 1 species
UUCUUACUAGCUCAAUGGCAGAGCAGAAUACUUCUAAUAUUUUGAUCCAAGUUCGACCCUUGGUAAGAAU